AUGAAAAUUUGGGGCUCUCUUAUGUAUUUGUUUGUAGUUCUAAACAACAACAAAAAAAUACAUUUAAGGCUAUUAAGGCCCAGUUCAUUUCUAUUCUUUUUAAGAAACUUAUUUUCUUUCUUGGUUGUGAAAAAAGUUAAGAAAAAAUUAAUAACUGAAGUUUAUGAAGAAAAAUUAUAGGAACUUAUGUAAUAUAAACUCAUCUAGUUUCUUAAUCUAUAGAUCUUAUUGGGCAUAGAGUAUAUAUUUUGAAUACAGCUAAAUAAUUCAUAAAGUUUUUUCAAUAUAAUGUUAUUUCUCUAUUUUAAAAAACAUAUUCAACUGUAGUUAUUGAAACUGUUAACUUUUUUUUUUUUUCUUGCUUUUUAGGGCUGCACAUGAAGCAUAUGGAAGUUCCCGAGUUAGGGGUCAAAUCAGAGCUUCAGCUGCAGGCCUAUACCGCUGCCACAGCAACACUAGAUCUGAGCCUUGUCUGUGAACACCACAGGUCAUGGCAACACCAGAUCCUUAACCCACUGAGUGAGGCCGGGGAACCUGCAUCCGUAUGGAUACUAGUCAGGUUUGUAAACUACUGAGCCACAAUGGAAACUCCAUAACCCCAUUUAGUAGGUAGUCCAAGUAUCUUUGAAAGGUAUAUAGAACGUUGAAAAUACAUAUUUAUAUGUAAAUUGGAAAUAUUUUAUAAUUUUGACAUUUCCCCAGUUGUUUGAUUUGGAAAACAUUUUUAGUCCUGUGUAAUCACAUUUGUGAAGAGUGAAACAGAGAAAGACUUUCCAAGUGUUCUGGGCUAUUUACAAAACUUCAACAUGUUCAGAAAAUAAAAAAUGUACUAAUCACAUGUUCUGCACACAAUGAAUAAGGCUAAAAAUUUACAACAAAGGCUUAAACAAUUUAAAAAUAUUUUAAGAUCGCAUAUAUUAAAAAAACUAGAUUUACAGAGUGAAAAUUAGAAAUAUAAAAUAACUUAUUUAGGAAAUAGAUUUAGACAUUGGAAUAAAUGGGUGGUAGAAAGAGCUAAGAAAAAUCAGAGCCACAAUGCUUCAGUUAUUGGAAAUGAAUGAAAAUAAAUAAACUAGAAGUUCAACUCAAGAACUUAUAAAAGAGGCAAAAAUUAGUGAUAAAGAAUAAAGGAGAAUAAAAAUGCAAAAGAUGUAGAAACAACAGACAAAUAGAAACAGUAAACAAAUCCCAAACUGAGUUUAGCCAACUUCUGACAAGUCUAAUAAAGAAGAGAAAAUAAAAAUGCAGAGAAUCAGAACUAUCACAAAAGAUAUUAGGGAUGACUAACAUAGUAAAUAUUUGAAUAGCUAUGUUAAUAUGUUAAUGUAAAAAUGGCCUUUUAUAUUCUAGAAAAAUGUAAAUAACCAAAAAGAGCACCUCAAUAAGAAGAAAAACUAAGUAAAUUUUAAAUGCUAAAAUGAAGGCUGUCCAAUGAUCACAUUACAGCACAUGCUAUCGCAGUAUUUUUCAAACCUUACUACCAUGACAUACAGCAAGGCCUAUAUUUUACACCAAAAGCCUUUGUAAAAACAGAGUUAUGUGUGUACAACCGAAACACAAAAGGCAACCUAUGGAAUGGGAGAAAAUAUUUGCAAACCAUAUAUCUGACAAGGUGUUACUCUCCAAAAAAAAGAGAAGUCCCAACACCCAAUAUUAAAAAAAUGAAUAUCCUGAUUAAAACACAGGCUAAAGACAUGAAGAGACAUGUCUCUGAAGAAGGAAAAUACAAACCAAAACCACAAUGAGAUAUCCUCUCCCACCUGUCAGGAGGACUAUUAUCAAAAAAAACCAGAAGACAAGUAUUGGUGAGGGUGUGAAGAACCCCAUAGACGGUUGAUGAGAAUAUAAAAUGGUGCAACUGCUGUGGAACAGUAUUAUGUGGUUCCUCAAAAAAACCCAAUAAUAGAACCAUCAUAUAUGUUCCCGCACUCUUACUUCUGAGUAUUUUUUCAAGAAUUGAAAUCGGAAUUUCCAAGAUAUUAGCACGCCUAUGUUUUGUGCAGCAUUACUCACAAUACCAAAGAUAUGGAAACAACAUAAAUGCUCAUCAGCAGAUGAAUGGAUGAAGAAAAUGUAGGAGUUCCUGUUGUGGCUCAGUGGUAAUGAACUUGAUGUGUAUCCACAAGGAUGCAGGCUCCAUCCCCAGCUUUGCUCAGGGUUAAGGAUCCAGCAUUGCCGUGACUUGUGGUUGUAGGUGUGGCUCAGACCCUGCAUUGCUGUGACUGUGGUGUAGGCUGUAGCUGUAGCUCCGAUUCACUCCCUAGCCUGGGAACCUCCAUAUGCCGCGGGUGUGACCCUAAAAUGCAAAAUAAAUAAAUAAAUAGAAAGAAAGAAGAAAAUGUAUGUACAUACAAUGGAACAGUAUUUGGCCUUAAAAAUGAAGGUGAUCCUGCAAUUUGGACAACGUGAAUGAACCUUGAUGACAUUAUGUGAGGUUAAAUAAGCCAUCCCAGAAAGACAAAUCCUGCGUAAGUCCAUUGGUAUGAGGUAUCUAAACGCAUCCGUCUCUAAUGGGCCCCCACACCAAUCCAAUGACAAACUCUCCAUCCCAGGUGUGUGGAUCAAGGCUUCUCACGCACCCUUUGGCUGCGGCAGAGAAGAACUAGGGCUGCCUGGCAGAGUAAAGCAGACCUGUGAGGCUGACUGGGCUCUUUAUUAGCUUCCAUAAUGUGCUCACCUAGUUGGUCCUGGGUUCAAGUAAUAGAAUGUGGCACAUGAUUAGCUGGUCAUCAGAGCUCAGCUUAGGUACCCCCCCCCAGGAGUCCCUAAAAGUGAAGGACCCCACAAAGACAGAGGUACUUCAAAUACACUACAACUUUCCCCCAGGUUAUCACUUCAUGUAAGUUGCUCUAGGAAUAUUUCAGUAAGCUGGAAGGUAAAAACACCUUUAGUAUCAAGUACUUCGAAAAUGUUAAUUAUAAGAUUUUUCAACUGGCUUUUGAGCUUUUUCUUUUUCAUUUUUGGCCGCCCCAUGGCAUGUGGAAUUCCCGGGCUAGGGAUCAGAUCCGAGCUUCAGUCUCGGAUCCUUCACCCACUGUGCCGGCGUGGGGGCGGGGUGGCAAGGAGGUUGGGGAUCAAACCUGCCACACUUGGGUCUGGUGCUCCCAAGACACUGCUGAUCCCACUGCACCACAGUGAGAAUUCCUCAGCCUUCAUUUUAAAUAUAAGGCUGCAUUUCCUAAUGACUCAGAGGGGGCAUAUCUUUUGGUGACUGAACGUAAGAAAGGCAUGAACCCCAACCCUUUCCUGUAAUAAACAGAGCAAGAUCAAGUUGCUACUGAUUUUCAAACUAAUUAAAGUUAUAUCAUAAAAAUUUUGAUGAUGUCUAUUGUAUAUGGUCGUUCUCACUCAUGUUAACAAAUUAAAUAUAAUAUUCACCCAUAGGAGAAAUUGUGGAUUAAGGUUGUCAUUUUUAUUUGUUUGCUUUGAGACCUACGGAGUCUGGAUGACCCCACCCCCAACCUGGUGAGAAUAUAUAAUAUUUAAAACAUGGAAGAACCAUGGAAAAUUCAAUUUUCCUGAGUCUGUUUUUUCAUCUUUAAAAUAUAAGUGUUGGGUAUGGUGAUCUAAAGCCUAAAUGGAUGGAAUUACAAGAUUCUAAAAUUUGGGAUCUAGGAGUUCCCUAGUGGCUCGGUGGGUAAGGAUCCUGUUGCUGUCUCUGCUGUGGCGAGGGUUGGAUCCCUAGCCCAGGGAACUUCCUCAUGCACUAGGCAUGGCCAAAAAAAUUUUGGAUAUAGAUUUUCACUUUUGCUAUCUAAUAAAACUGCAAAAUAAUAUUUAUUCAGUGAUUUAGUUGAUUGGCUAGUGUACCAAACAAUUGCGGAGUCUCCAUGGCACAAACCUGAAAGUUACUACCACCAACAUCUUUUGUUGUUCUAAUUUACUGCGACCUAGAAAUCAUCAUCCUUUUACCUUAAGUGGUAAUAGCGUAAAAAAAAAAGUCCUGUUUUCAGUAGUUUCUUCACUUUCAACUUUUACAAUCCUAGAAAUGCAAGGAUUCUAUAAGGUAGGUAGCAAAACUGUUUCAGGUGUCCAUUUGCAUAAUGUGCUAAGUCUGCCACUUUUAAACUUUGAGUUUGAAGAGCAGACGUUUAAGACAUUUUGUGAUAGCCACAUAAGAUUUUUAUUAUUAUAAAAAGAUUGUUUAUUAUAAAAAGAUUAUUUAUUGUUAUUAUAAAUAAAAGAUUAUUUAUUAUUAUCACCUGGUGGUGAAUGCAUCCUUGUGGAUUAAAUCAGUAGUUACUUCCUAAUUAUAUUUCUACAUCAAUGUGGUAUAACAAAAGCACAUGAAGCAAGGAAGUGAGGCAGACAAUUAUUACGGAGAAAUGCGUGGUAAGAAGUAAAGACAUUCUCUCUUGGCAGACCCAGGAAGAAAGUGCCAUGAAGGUAUCUGCCCUCAUGAAAUGUACUUGUUUGGAAUUAUUUCUUGCUAUUUAGCCUGGGAAUGAACUGGAGCAAGCUCGCUUAUUUCCGCUCUUGUUAUGCGUUAGUACUCUACACACACCAGAUUCUUAUUCAUUUCUCACAAGGUUAAAAGGGUUAUUUGGAAUUGUACAGAAUGUUCUUCCAUUGCUAUGAAAGGAAUGCAUGUGGCACCUCCCAUUAGCAUUUAUCAGAGUUUAUAUGUACCUAACUGAACGUAAACAAAAUGCUUCAAAUUCACAUUUUUUAUAAACCUUGUUUAUCAUUAAUAGUUUCGCUAUUUAAGGGAUACGAAAAUGUACAUGCUUGAAAACUCUAUUAGUUGUGUAAAAAUGUCAAGAAAGUUAAAGUUGAUGCAGUCUGCCACCUGCUAAUGCCUGUAAAAUCAUUCCCUGCUGGAGAUACUGAAUUGUUUUCCAUUAUAUUAACAUCACAUGAAUAAAAAUCCAAACCUUUUAAAUCACAAGUUUCAUAAGGUGUUGAUUGGCCUGGAGCAGGAUAAAUUCAGACAAAUAUUUAUGGUGCCAAGAGUUGUGUAUAUAAAUAUUCUCCCUUGAAAAUCUUUCCCGUGUACUGUUAAACUGCCAAGGUGAUAUAAUUUAACAGGUAAAGCAGUGAAUGGAGAGCCAGGGGUCACUGAGACGGAAUUCUUUCUCCAUUCCCACUUUAAUAUAUGAUCCUAAACCACCUGGACCCUUCUAAAAUCAACUUCCUAAUUUGUGAAGAAGGAAAAAUUUAGCCAUUAUGUUGCUGGGGCAUGAAGGCAGAGUCCAUAGUUGUAGAAACUUCUAAAGUAUUGAAUUACUAUUAAAAUUCAGAAAUGCAUCAUAUUGCCAUUUAGGAAGAAAUUGGUUUGCAUUUAUUGUUAAUCUUCACAAUAUAUUUGCAACUUAUAAUAAUACCAAUUACCGUCUAUUGAAUGUGUGCCGUUAUCCAGAAACUGUCCUGAGUGCUUUAUAUACUGUAUUUACCUCUAGCAACAAGUCUAGUGACAAGCCUUGAAGCACGUAUUAGUCCCAUGUUAAUGGGAUUAAUAUUGCAGGAUGCUAUGUGCUCAAGAUCACUCAGUUUGAAGACAGAAGAACCAGGAUUCUAACCCAUGUAAUUCUUUUUUUUUUUUUUUUUUUUGCUAUUUCUUGGGCCGCUCCUGUGGCACAUGGAGGUUCCCAGGCUAGGGGUCCAAUCGGAGCUGUAGCCGCCGGCCUACGCCAGAGCCACAGCAAUGCGGGAUCCCAGCUGCAUCUGCAACCCACACCACAGCUCAGGGCAAUGCCGGAUCGUCAACCCACUGAGCAAGGGCAGGGAUCGAACCCGCAACCCCAUGGUUCCUAGUCGGAUUCGUUAACCACUGCGCCACGACGGGAACUCCCUAAGGCAUGUAAUUCUAAAGCCAGAAGGCUGGGUUCUUACCCAUCUAUACCACGUUGCCUCUGUGCUUUGCAAAUGAGGAAUCUGAAGUUUAAAAGUUUAGUACGGUUCUUAAGCUAACUGGCUGGAUGGAAUGAAAAUCCCAUGUGUUCGAUAAGGGAGCCCUAGAUAUUUCUGUUAUGCUUCCCUAAUCCUAAUGUGCUUUCUGUCACACCCCUUUUCUCUAUUGCGUUACUGGGGUGAUUGCAGUCAGUGUUCUGCUGAAUGCCCUGACCUCUCUAAUCCCCAAAAUCCAGUCUGGCUAAUGAAUUCUACUUGAGUGGAUAUGAAGAUGCAACCUGUUGCAUUUAAAGCUCUCUUUUUGUUAAAUUGUUGUUUUGUUUUGUUUUGUUUUGGCUGUGCCCCUGACAUGUGGAAGUCCCCAGGCCAGAGAUUGAUCCCACAGCACAGCAGAGUGAAAAAGAGGAAAUUUCAGGUGGGAAUCUAUGGCGAUUUUGGAAAUUCAAAUCAGAAAUUAACCACAGAAUCAGGUACCAUUGGUAGGUAACUUGAAAUAAGGUACCUCAGAUCCAUUAGACACCAGUGCCCAGAGAGUGGUUAUCGAAAUGGAAAUAGGGCUUGGGACACAGGGAGAGGGCUUGACCCACAAGAGUUCUAGAAGCGCUUCCACAGACUAGUGGUCGAGAAGGGGGUGGGGGUUAGAACCAGAGAAGACCACAACUGAAGCCUAUGAAAAAGUGAACAUCUUGACAGCUGGUAGCUAAUUACGUUGCUUUCCCCUUCUCUCUUCCCUCCUGUUUCUAAAGAGUAAUUUUUCUUUGCGUUUAUUUCUGGGGUGAUCCAACUCCCUGUAAGUGUAGGAUUCCCGCUGCUUCCACCUUCCACUUCUGGACCCCUGCUUCUUAAUUAUCUCUUCUCUUUUGCCAUCCGUCUCUUCUCUCCUUUUUCACCUCCUUCCUCUUGAUUAUGACAAAGUCAGGCCUAUCCCUGAAUACUCUUCCCUAAGCCUUCCUAAUUUUAAAGGAAAUCUAGUUGAUUCCUUUCUUCAGACUUACAUAUGCUUUCAUUCCCUGCAAAUAUUCACACAAGUUUAACACAAAUGCGUUAUUAUUUUCUGUAACUCCUGGUGUGCAUAAACAGUAAAAUAAUGUGUACAUUAAUUAUGCUUUGCCAUUUACUUAUUUCUGGUUUCUGUGAAGGAAAUGUCACUAUUUUUAGUUUCUGAUCUUAAAAUAACUCAUUCUGAAAUGCUGUAAAACCUUAAUGAAUAUCCAAAUUCAUAUAAAUUAUUUAAGCUAUAAUUUCCUAUCCUAAACAGUCAUUAGAUUAACAUACAUCCUUAGAUCUCUUUCCAGCUGUACCAAAUUAGCUUCUUUGAGUCCUUUUAGUUUAUGAUUUCAAGCAACGCAGAAAGUACUGCUUUCCUAAGCUGUAUUCUAAGGUUACAAACAGCAAUCUGACUUUAAAAUGCCAUUUAGAAUGUUUCCUUCAGUUAGCAUUCAUGUAAUUAAAACUCGGUUUUUUCCCAAAGAAUUAUUGAAUGAAUAAUAUUGCCUGAUUUUCUUAUUUAGAUAUGAGAAAACUGAAAUACAGAAAACUGGAUGAAGUGCUCAGAGUUUCAAAAGGAAGUCUGUAUUUGGGGAUGCACUCUUUUCUCGUCUUCUUUCCUUUAAGAAAGCAAGUGCAACAGAAUGGUUUCAUUCGGAUAGCAGUGACUAAGGAAAAAAUCAAGCAAUUGAAAUAACGGUACUUUAAAGUUAAAACAUUGCCUUACAUUUUCAUUUUUUAAAAACAUGCCAUGUCUAAGAAUGUGCAAAUUCUAAUGCAUGUUGGUCAGGGUAUUCCUGAGUUCCUGACUCUUUCACUACAUUCUUUUCUUGAGGUUUCAAUCUCCGGAAGCCAACAUGGAAGAAUCAUUUUCAUUUGUUCCAGUAAAUGCAUUUUCUCUUUCUUAUAUUUUCUCUUUCUAGCCUUUCGAUGUGGGCUUUCUGUCUUGUUUCUAUCUCACUUCUCUUAGAGAUUCAUUCCACAUACUUCACUCUGUUAGUUAUUAACGUUUCUUCACUGACAAUUCCUUAUUUCUCUUCUCUUGAAAGGGAAACGCUGCUGCUAUCAUUAUUCAUUCUUCAGAUUUUCUUCAGAUCUCCCCUUUGCCAGCUACCCAAUCCCCAGUUUGCAGGGAACCUGAGAAAGGCAAUAUUUCUUUUCACUGCUUUUUCUGUUCUUUUUUUUUUAAACUCAAAAUACUCAUGAUACUGUUUGCAUAAUAAUGAUGACAGGUAUAUUGCAUUUACAAAUUACCCUUCCUUUGGUGGUCUCAAGGUAAGUUAUCUGCAUAAAUUCAUUAAUAGUCUCAGUUUUCUCACAAGGCGGUGGAUCAGUGUGGUUUUUUUCUCACCCUGAGUGAAACGGAAGGGAGUCGGAAAGGCAAAGGAUUGGGGGCUAUUGUGAAUCUAAAAGUGUGAUGCUGGGACAAAAAUCUCGGAGGGCAGGCUUGAAGAAAACCAUAGCAAAAAAAAAAA
ensembl:lncRNA